rnacentral:ncRNA from 1 species
AAUAAUUAGCGGGGAAAGAAGACCCUUUUGAGCUUGACUCUAAUCUGGCAGUGUAAGGAGACAUAAGAGGUGUAGCAUAAGUGGGAGAUAUUAGAUUUCGGUUUGGUAUCGACAAUGAAAUACCACUACUCUUAUUGUUUCCUUACUUACUUGAUUAAAUGGAACGUGUAUCAUUUCCUAGCCAUUAUACGGAUAUAUUUAUUAUAUCUUAUGGUAUUGGGUUUUGAUGCAAGCUUCUUGAUCAAAGUAUCACGAGUUUGUUAUAUAAUCGCAAACAAAUUCUUUAAUGAGAAAAUGCAUUUAUGUAUUUUCAAUUUGAAAAUUUGGUAUAACUCCAAUUACUCAGGUAUGAUCCAAUUCAAGGACAUUGCCAGGUAGGGAGUUUGACUGGGGCGGUACAUCUCUCAAAUAAUAACGGAGGUGUCCCAAGGGCCAGCUCAGUGCGGGACAGAAACCACACAUAGAGCAAAAGGGCAAAUGCUGACUUUGAUCUCGGUGUUCAGUACACACAGGGACAGCAAAAGCUCGGCCUAUCGAUCCUUUUGUGUAGAGAGUUUUUAACAAGAGGUGUCAGAAAAGUUACCAUAGGGAUAACUGGCUUGUGGCGGCCAAGCGUUCAUAGCGACGUCGCUUUUUGAUCCUUCGAUGUCGGCUCUUCCUAUCAUUGUGAAGCAAAAUUCACCAAGCGUUGGAUUGUUCACCCAUGCAAGGGAACGUGAGCUGGGUUUAGACCGUCGUGAGACAGGUUUAGUUUUACCCUACUAAUGACAAAACGUUGUUGCGACAGCAUUCCUGCGUAGUACGAGAGGAACCGCAGGUACGGACCAAUGGCACAAUACUUGUUCGAGCGAACAGUGGUAUGACGCUACGUCCGUUGGAUUAUGCCUGAACGCCUCUAAGGUCGUAUCCGUGCUGGACUGCAAUGAUAAAUAAGGGGCAAUUUGCAUUGUAUGGCUUCUAAACCAUUAAAAGUUUAUAAUUUAUUUUAUAAACGACAAUGGAUGUGAUGCCAAUGUAAUUUGUAACAUAGUAAAUUGGGAGGAUCAUCGAUCACCUGAUGCCGCGCUAGUUGCAUAUAAAAACAUUAUUUAAUACAAUGACAAAGCCUAGAAUCAAUUGUAAACGACUUUUGUAACAGGCAAGGUGUUGUAAGUGGUUGAGCAGCUGCCAUACUGCGAUCCACUGAAGCUUAUCCUUUGCUUGAUGAUUC